rnacentral:misc_RNA from 1 species
GGAAUAAAAGUCGUAACAAGGUCUCCGUUGGUGAACCAGCGGAGGGAUCAUUACAGGACUCGCAAGACUCCUACAACCCUGUGAACUUAACUAUAAGCACGUUGCUUCGGCGGGUGUCUCGGAGGGGGUUCUCCCUCCCCGAGACGCUAAACCCGCCGGCAGCCUACUAUACUCUGUCUCUUUGCGUUGGCAUCUCGAGUACAAUCAAACAAGUCAAAACUUUCAACAACGGAUCUCUUGGUUCUG